GUCCUCUUUGACACCUACCUUACUCUCUCCCUCCACUCACACUCUGAGAACUGUGCUCAGGGGCAGCGCUACAACUUCCACAUUGGUCUUUACAGGGCUUGAGUGAUUAUUUCAAGAACAGAACCCUGUGUUGAAAACUUUAAUCGUGUGCCUGUUACAAGCCAGGCUCUUGUCUGGGUUCUAGAGACGGUGGAAACCAAGACAGCACCAUCCUCUAGUGGUGUUCACAUCCCACCACAGUGGAGUCAGAAGAAGUGAUUUGUGACAAAAAGGAAUUUGAGCAAAGCUGUGUUUAUGUGUGUCUUCUGGUUAGUCCUUACAAAGCAUCGGAAAGACUUCAUUGUUCAGAAUCCAGCCACUUGGCUACAUGGAACUAUAAGUUUCAACAUGGGAAACUGAAAUCGGGCAUAUCCCUGCGGAAGAAAGCUGUCCCUUAGUGAAGAAUAAAACUGUGGACUGACCCCCACCCAUUUGUGAAGAAAGUACUGGGUCUUCAGCUUUCAUUGUUCAGCCGGUGGUCUUUGUGGACAACACCAGGGGCCCCUCCUGCUGAAGACUGUCUGGACUUCCUGAUUUUCACUCCUGUAUAAACCCCCUCCCCCAUUACUACCUUUGUCUCCUUGGGGAAAAAAAAAUGUUUUUCACUUAAGCAAAAUAAUAACUACCCAGUAUUUGUUUCUGGAGUGAAAUUAUAAACUUCAUUGUACAUUCUUCCUGGCUUUGAUGCUUAUCGUGAAGAGUUCAGUGAAAAUAAAUUGUUUUUAU
rnacentral:lncRNA from 1 species